UAUAUUGUAGAUUAUUGCGUUGCGUUGUGUAUUUGAUCGUAAGCUAACUAAGGCGUUAAAGAUAGAACUACGUCUGCCAUUAUACGUUUCUAUUCAAUACAACAUAAAGUAUCACAAUUACGCGACGUCACAAAGAUAGUGGCCGUACCGCAAAAAGGUACGUUAAUAUUAGCGCAAUUCUUUACAUUCUGGGGCCGCAGAAAAUGAUAUUUAACUCAAAUUUGAAAUACAAUAUGAAAAAUUCGUAAAUUUGAAAUUAAAUGUCUGAUCAAUUGUGACAUAAAAUGAAAUAAAAUCAUAGUUAAAGUCUCUCAAUAUUUUUUAACUGUUCACG
rnacentral:lncRNA from 1 species